AUCACAAAACCAGGGGGCGUUCCCCAGCCAAUACCGAGCCGUGAGCAUAAAAUACCAGGAAAUGUUCUUUAAACAGCUCAGCACAGUCACUGCUCCCAGAACCACAGCCGCCGUUUUCUCACUGCAAUAUUUACUUUUCAGCUUCUGGCAACAAAUGGCCACAAACCGAUCAAAGGUGAAAGUGACGGUGAACCAGACAGAGCAGUCAGUGGCUGCAUAAAGCAGGACGGCGUGGAUAUUACACACGGGGACGGAGUCCCUCAGGAAAUAAAACUGUUCCUGAUAAACAAUGGGAAUGUGUCUCAGGAUCAGGUCGAGGAUAAUGACCAGGAGAUCCGCCGCUGCCAUGGCCCCCAGGUAUCUGUGUUACCUGUUUGGAUACAGGAUUGGCUGGCCAGCAGAAGACAGCAAGUGGUAGCGGAAGGAAAAUAUUCUGCCUGGAAGUCUGUGAAUCUCAGCAGUGUGGAAACAAGCCCUUCGGCCCAACAAGUACAUACCAACUUUCCAAAGAGUAACCUUCCCAUGCCCUUACAGUUACCACUGACUAGUGCACCUAAAGUAGAAAUCGCGGAACAUGAUGGACUAUUUG